UACAGAGGUGGCAAGCGUUGUUCGGAAUUACUGGGCGUAAAGGGCGCGUAGGCGGAUUUGUCAGUCAGGGGUGAAAUCCCGGGGCUCAACCUCGGAACUGCCUUUGAUACAGCAAGUCUUGAGUUCGAGAGAGGUGGGUGGAAUUCCUAGUGUAGAGGUGAAAUUCGUAGAUAUUAGGAAGAACACCGGUGGCGAAGGCGGCCCACUGGCUCGAUACUGACGCUGAGGUGCGAAAGCGUGGGGAGCAAACAGG
rnacentral:rRNA from 1 species